GACGAACCGUACGAACGUUAUUCGGAAUCACUGGGCUUAAAGGGUGCGUAGGCGGUGCGGAAAGUUGGCUGUGAAAUCCCUCGGCUCAGCCGAGGAAUUGCGCCCAAAACUACCGUGCUCGAGGGAGACAGAGGUGAGUGGAACUUGGGGUGGAGCGGUGAAAUGCGUUGAUAUCCUAAGGAACACCAGUGGCGAAAGCGACUCACUGGGUCUCUUCUGACGCUGAGGCCCGAAAGCUUGGGGAGCAAACGGG
rnacentral:rRNA from 1 species